rnacentral:rRNA from 1 species
CUACGGGCGGCACCAGUGGGGAAUAUUGGACAAUGGGGGAAACCCUGAUCCAGCAAUGCCGCGUGUGUGAAGAAGGCCUGCGGGUUGUAAAGCACUUUCGGUUGGGAGGACUGCUUCUAGCACUAAUAUUGUUGGAAGUUGACGUUACCUUCAGAAGAAGCACCGGCUACCUCCGUGCCAGCAGCCGCGGUAAUACGGAGGGGUGCAAGCGUUAAUCGGAAUUACUGGGCGUAAAGCGCGCGUAGGCGGCUAGAUCAGUCGGGUGUGAAAGCCCCGGGCUUAACCUGGGAACUGCAUCCGAUACUGUCUAGCUUGAGUACAGGAGAGGAGAGUGGAAUUCCACAUGUAGCGGUGAAAUGCGUAGAUAUGUGGAGGAACACCAAUGGCGAAGGCAGCUCUCUGGCCUGAUACUGACGCUGAGGUGCGAAAGCGUGGGGAGCAAACAGGAUUAGAUACCCGCGUAGUC